rnacentral:rRNA from 1 species
CCUACGGGAGGCAGCAGUGGGGAAUAUUGGACAAUGGGCGCAAGCCUGAUCCAGCCAUGCCGCGUGAGUGAUGAAGGCCUUAGGGUUGUAAAGCUCUUUUGCCUGGGAAGAUAAUGACGGUACCAGGAGAAUAAGCCCCGGCUAACUUCGUGCCAGCAGCCGCGGUAAUACGAAGGGGGCUAGCGUUGUUCGGAUUUACUGGGCGUAAAGCGCACGUAGGCGGAUCUUUAAGUCAGGGGUGAAAUCCCGGGGCUCAACCUCGGAACUGCCUUUGAUACUGGGGAUCUCGAGUUCGGGAGAGGUGAGCGGAACUGCGAGUGUAGAGGUGAAAUUCGUAGAUAUUCGCAAGAACACCAGUGGCGAAGGCGGCUCACUGGCCCGAUACUGACGCUGAGGUGCGAAAGCGUGGGGAGCGAACAGGAUUAGAUACCCUGGUAGUCCACGCUGUAAACGAUGGAUGCCAGCCGUUAGGCAGCUUGCUGCUUAGUGGCGCAGUUAACGCUUUAAGCAUCCCGCCUGGGGAGUACGGUCGCAAGAUUAAAACUCAAAUGAAUUGACGG